ACGCAUUUUGAAGAAAAUAUACGUCUUUUUAAAGCCAAUUCAUUAUCCCCAAAAACCUUCAUAGGUAUACACAAAUGACAUAAAUAUCUACAAAAGUUGCACAAAAGGGAUACAAUCUUUAGGGAAAGGAAAAAUAACAUGAGAAAAAGAAUAAUGUCCCGCGCAUUGGAUAAGAAAUACUAGUUCUUGAAUACUCUUCUAUCAGCCUUCGCCCUCUUAGCUUUAUCCACUUCUUGUCAUUGGCGAGAUUCGUUGAUGAUCAAGCAAUUUCUGUAUAGCUGUGCCCUAGAUGCAACCGUUCAAAUCGAUCAAUUUCUUACUUGGCUUGCUUUAUUUCUUCUCUUAAUUGGUGUAUGAUUGAGGCUCCUUACACGAAAGUAAGCAAAUCAAGCAUUCGCCCGACCCCCAAAGGAUAAUGGAUUGGAUUAAAUAAAUAGAUAUUUAUUCAACACAUAAAUAUGAUUCAUCUGUAAUUGACUCAGGGUCAAUAAACGUCGGGCAGGUUUUCAAAUGGGCCCAAUAUCCCCUCGGGUAUUGGGUCAUUCUAGGAUCGUACCUAAAAUAGAAUUUUGGUUUCGCUCUAUCCUAGGUGUCUAGAGUGGAUUUGAACCAAGUUCCUAAGCGGACAACUUGGACUUGGAAAUACGAACAACCAUCAGAUGUCUCACGUGCUAAUAAACUAUUGUAUUUGCAACACUUUAUUUGGAGUUGAACAGCAGGGGCCGGGACAUCCAUGAAACCCCAAAACAAUUUAAUAAUUCAUGGGGGAUUAUGCAAUGAGAUGCAAUAAUUAAAUUACGUAAAAUCAAAACAUAUAAAUACGUAAGAAAUUUAAACAAUUAGUCAAAAAAUGAAAUCAAACUUUGGUUAGAUCCUAGUUAAAUUCCCCAGUGGAGUCUUCAUUUCUGUUUUACAAAAAUUUUGAUUUUUGAAAGUCGCCACUUAAUUUAUUUGAAAAGGAAUUAAGACAACCUUUAUAAAGUACUUGAACGAUUCAAAACAAGAAAAUAGUCCAAGUUAGAGAUUCUAGGUAAGCGAUUCCUAUUAACAUUCUAGGAAGUUUUUAAGGCACCUAAAACGUCCACUAACUUGCGAUUAUCCGAACUGCUUGAAAGUAUCUUUUGACUAACUUCAAAAAGAUUGAUUGUUGAAAUAUGAUUGAUUUUAGGAAAAGACUUGUGUAAAAUAGAUUUGGACGACUUAGUAGGGAUUUUAACUAAGUCUAAAUAAACUAACAACAAAGCAUGAAAAAGGAAAAGGAAAAAAUUAAAAGACUUAUGCCAUUGGACCCAAACCAAUAAGUCCUAUCCUAAUAUAAUUGGGAUUUUGGCCCACUUGCACCUUUCCUAAUCUAAAUGUUGGGCCUUGGCCCGUAACCUGUCCUAAACUAUUUUUCUAACCCGUUGGCCUAAAAUCUGCUCCACCUGUAUUAAAUGUACAACUUUGGCUUCGAGGCCCAAAUGAAUGAAUAAUGCAAUGAAGAAAUAAGUAAAUAAUAAUAAAAGGACAACAAUAAAUGAAGAAAAAUAAGACUUUCGAGUCUCUUUACCACUUUAAAGAUGGAACUUUAACCCAUUUUUCUUCUUUCGACUUCUGGUAUUCAUAUGCCAUGAGAUUACAUUUUUGGGCCUUCGAAGUUGACUCAGGAUGGAUGAGCCUCAUUGGCCAACAUCGAUAAUGCCACAACGGGAUAGAGUCCAUUUGGACUCGAAUGCGGGUUUGUGCGAAGAAAAGGUACAAAUAUUUAAUACAUGCAUGUAUAUACAUAUGAUAAAUUAGCAACUAAUCAUGUUGAAAAUUUUAUGAUAUUAUAAAAUAUACUCACACACAAAUUAAAAAUAAAAACAAUGAUUCAUGAAAAAAAAGAUAAAGGUAAAAAUAGCAAAUUCUCAUGAUUUCGAGUAACUGAAGUUAAGCAAUAUUAUUUUAAGGCUACAUCAAAAUUUGGUAGAGUAAGGACAUGAAUUGGACACCUAAAAAUAUUAGUGAAUAAACAAGGGAGAGGGGUAGUUAACAAGUGAGAACACAAGCAAACAAAGAACAAGUAAAUUUGUAUGCCAAAAGAAUCUCAUAUCAUAAGAGUUAUUACCUUGAACAAACACGCAAUGGAUUAACUGUAGGUUAAUAAAACUUGAACAAAACCAUGAAUUUCAAUCACAACAAAUAAUAUUUAUACUACUAAUCCGAUGGGCGAAAGGACUACAAUAUGUUGUCUUGUGUUCUAUAUGAUCACCAAAGUAAAAAUUCAAUGAAAAGAAUCAACAAAAAAGCUGCAUUAGUCAAGAAGGUUUUCAAACUUUCUAUCCAAACUUUCAAUUAAGCGUUAAGAUUACACCAAAAUGGAACUUAUCAAACAAAAAGAACUGGUGAUAAUAAACAAAACUUAAGAUGUCUGAAUGAAAAUAAUUAGUUAAAUUUUGAUCCCAUCAAGAAACUAAAACUAAAAUCAGUAGUUGAUACGUGAAAACCAAAGAGGAAUAAAACCACAGAAUCUUUUAAAUAAUCAGGAUUAAGUAUUAAGAAAAGGAUCCAUUUAUAUGAAAACAAUAUUCAGAUAAAAUUUAAGACUACACAAGAUAUCGAAAUGUAUUAUUUUCCUUUUAUACAGCUAGGCUACAAGAACAUCAACACACUCAAACCAGGACCUCAAAAACAUUAUUACGAAGCCAAGAGAAUGUUAACAACAUUCAACGUCAAGAGAAAACAAAACAAUUAUGAGUGAAACAAAUCAAGAACAUACUAUGCAGAAUUUAGUCAAGAUGUAAUUUUUCAACCAAGUAGUUAAACAAAUCGUGAUAUAGAGCUCGAGUCAAUCAAUUUUCGAUCAAUAAGAUAUUUUACAUUCGAGCAGGACAAGACGAGGAAGAAAUCAUUUUUAAGAUUUUAUACUUUAGCAAGAUAAACAACACGAAAAGAUUCACUAAAAACACACAACGAGACAUAUUUUACAGCAACUUACAAACAACACAAAAAGAGAUUAUAACUAUACGAUUAUCGCAGCAAGAAUAUCAUCGCAACUAUACCUAUGGCCUUCGAGGCCUCUACAGCAAGCAAUCCCAGCAUACAACAACUAUGAUUACUAAACUAUAGAGAAAGGAUUAAGAAGAAAACAAUGGCGAAUUAAAAGUAAAGGAGUUUACCUUGUUCGAGGCAACAAAAUUGUACUCGAGCUGUUAUCGAAAUCUCCUCGCCACCACCGAAAGCCAAGAUUAAAUCCAAAACUAACUAAGAGAAAUUUCAAUUGUAAUUUCCUUUUCCUCGAAUAUUUUGAAGUUUAUUCCUCAAAGGCCCUUUUUCUUUUUUUUUUCUCCUUCCUCCUCCUUUUCAAUGAAAACAGCAAGAAUAUCUAUAGGUAAAGCUUUAGGAUCCAGUUUUUAUUCCUUUCGAGGUGGGAUGGGAAAAUGGAUAGAAAUUCGAGGAGAGGAUUUCAAAAUUUCAAAAUAGGAUUAAUAUCCACCAUCCACCUAUGUACGAAUCGGACAAUGGUAAGAUAUUAUACCAUUGAGAGAGACAGUUGGACAAUUUCUAGGCUCUUCUAGAAGCGGACAGCUCAUCAAUCGCACAUAAAUGAUGAUUUUAGGACUGCAUCGGUUGUCAAUGCAUGAUGUUAUGUUUAUCAUGGGUUCAGGUCGGCAGGUCUGGUGCGGGUCACCGUUUAUGGUGGGCGUUGGAACUAGUCAGUUCGGAGAUUACUGGUUGAAAUUGUCGUUAUU
rnacentral:lncRNA from 1 species